AAACAUGUUAUUGCGUUUUAAUUCGUGAAAAAGGUAUAAAUACUCAGAAUAUUAACAGAAGAGAGGAGAAUGGGGAGAGGAGGACUGAGUCAAGAAAAGAUAGGACUGAGUUAAGAAUCAGGAAGUUAGAAAUGUUUUACAAAAAUGGGAUCGGAUAAUUGGCAGUUCGGAUCGGUUCAGAUCAGCUCGGUUAAGUUCGAUUUUUUGGGCUCGGGUUUAAGAGCGGGUUAAAAAUAACUGUGGGAGUUUUAGAAUUGACUAUUAUGUCAUAGAACUUUUGGACUUAAGAAUAAAAAAUUAAUUAAAAGUUUGACGCGGGAAAAUACUAUUUAAAAAGCUGAUGUAUUUAUACCUGAAUUGAUUGUUAGUAUAGUUGACGUCUGUAUAACCUUGUAAAUAAAACCGAGUGUGAAAAAACUGCUGACUUUCUAAAUCUAUGCAACCAGUGGUGGUGUUACAUACUGUACUAUUUAAUUUACUAUGACUGAUAAGCUUAGUUAACAAACAACUAAUCUUUCUAUCUUCUUGACUGAUUGAAGACUGGUAUCGCUGUCAGUUUCGAAAGUAUGUGUGUUGUUGUCAUUGUGUACCUCAGAGGAGGCCAUCAAUGCAUUUGUCCACUUACAGCAUAUGACAGAGAAAUCAUAGAAACAGCUGUUUGGCAAACAAUCACACACUAAACUCGACAACAAUUCUAGUUCCUAAAGGACUAUCAUAGCAUUUUAUGUUAAAGGUCACCACACGCUGUGUCAUUUUAUAACACUUUUCGCAUGCACGGAUACUAAACAGUGCAUGCGGUACCGCCUGCGCCGACGAGGAUUGAAGGCACUUCGCUUCCGGUACCACAGGCACUUCGCCAAUGUUUACAAAACAAGUGAGAUCGAUAUGAAAACACAUUAGAAAUACCAACAGUAAAAACAGUCAGGCCAACACUGUGUUUCAUAGCUAAAAGAUGCUUUCCUGUUGGACAACACCUAAUUCCUCCAUAGUCGCACUGGCGAUAUUUGAUAGAACAAAUCUGUAUAGUUAAUGUUUAUAAGGUACUGUGCGACAUUAUCUUGUUAAUAUCA
rnacentral:lncRNA from 1 species